GACGAACGCUGGCGGCGUGCCUAACACAUGCAAGUCACGGGGUAGGCAAAUACCAACCGGCGAACGGGUGAGCAACACGUGAGCAAUCUGUCGAUCUCUGGGGGAUAGCCGGCCCAACGGCCGGGUAAUACCGCAUACGCUCAUCGGGGGACAUCCCCUGGUGAGGAAACCUCCGGGGGAGAUCGAGGAGCUCGCGUCCUAUCAGCUAGUUGGCGGGGUAACGGCCCACCAAGGCGACGACGGGUAGCUGGUCUGAGAGGAUGGCCAGCCACAUUGGGACUGCGACACGGCCCAGACUCCUACGGGAGGCAGCAGUGGGGAAUAUUGCGCAAUGGACGAAAGUCUGACGCAGCGACGCCGCGUGUGGGAUGAAGCUCUUCGGGGUGUAAACCACUGUUGCCCCGAGACGAACCUCCCUUUUUCGAGGGGACUGACGGUAUCGGGUGAGGAAGCACCGGCUAACUCUGUGCCAGCAGCCGCGGUAAUACAGAGGGUGCGAGCGUUGUCCGGAAUCACUGGGCGUAAAGGGCGCGUAGGUGGCUUGUUAAGCGUGUGGUGAAAGCCCGGGGCUCAACCCCGGUCUGCCGUGCGAACUGGCGAGCUUGAGUAGAGUAGAGGC
rnacentral:rRNA from 1 species